UACGAAGGUGGCAAGCGUUGUUCGGAUUACUGGGCGUACAGGGAGCGUAGGCGGUUGGGUAAGCCCUCCGUGAAAUCUCCGGGCCUAAUCCGGAAGUGCGGAGGGGACUGCUCGGCUAGAGGAUGGGAGAGGAGCGCGGAAUUCCCGGUGUGAGCGGUGAAUGCGUAGAGAUCGGGAGGAAGGCCGGUGGCGAAGGCGGCGCUCUG
rnacentral:rRNA from 1 species